AUUGAACGCUAGCGGGAUGCUUUACACAUGCAAGUCGAACGAGUGUCGGACGGGUGAGUAAUAUAUCGGAAGUGCCCAGUAGCGGGGGAUAACUACUGGAAACGGUAGCUAAUACCGCAUACUAUCGGAUAACCCAUAUGGGAUUAGCUAGUAGGUGAGGUAAUGGCUCACCUAGGCGACGAUCCCUAGCUGGUCUGAGAGGAUGAUCAGACACACGGGGACUGAGACACGGCCCAGACUCGUACGGGGGCAGCAGGGGGGAAUAUUGCACAAUGGGGGCAAGCCGGAUGCAGCCAUGCCGCGUGUAUGAAGAAGGCCCUAGGGUUGUAAAGUACUUUCAGUCGGGAGGCGUUACCGACAGAAGAAGCACCGGCUAACUCCGUGCCAGCAGCCGCGGUAAUU
rnacentral:rRNA from 1 species